UUAAGCCAAGAAUUACAAAUUAUUAUAUCCAUUCUGAUUGUAACCUUUAUAUCAAUAUUUAGUCACAUAAACAAAAAUGAGGAAAUAUUAAAAACCAAAAAUAAUUAUAGAUUUUUUUAUUUGGUCAGACAUUCUUAAAUUUUACAGAUACGUACAAUUUUUUUCUGAUCUAAUCAAAGGAAAAGAGGCAUGGUUCCUUGAAAAUUAACAUUUGGUGCUUUUAGAAGUCAGAGCAUUAUUCUUUUGACUGAAAUGUGCUUUUUUGAAAGGGCGUUUCAAGCAUAAUAGGUGCUCUACACAGACUUGCUGUAGAAGAAGUGGCUGUGUUCUCCUUUGUCACAGGUUGCCCCAGCCUCCUCCUGUCACUUGGCAUCUUUGUAUGCCUAUGAAUUUUCCAAGAGCCAGUACGUGAAGCCUCCCUGACCAGUUAACCACAAUCACCAACUGUGCAGGCAAUUUUCCCCUCUUAUUGGCGGUGAUAAUCCCUGAGAAGGCUGGUUUUCAUAGAGGGAAGUAGAAAUCCGCAGUGGGUGGUUUUCAGUCAUUUCGACAGCACCUCACAGAGCUGGCCUCUCUUUCUGAAGCACAGCAGGCAAAUUGCUCAGUUGUCAGUCCACACGUGAGGACUUGCCAUUUUUCAGAAUUUCCCUCAAAAGCUUACCUAAUUGAUGAUAAAGCCAUGGGCUGCCUUUGACCACAUUAAGAACAUUAAAACAAUGUAAUCGAGUUAUUGGGUUUCAUGUAGAUGUCAUUUAAAUUCAAUUGUGUUUUAUUUCAAGAAUCCAGUUUGCAUGUAAUUGUAGCUUUAGGGAAUUAUAAAACAGAUUUUCCGGAGAGGAUCUGGGUAGAUUCUCAUUUCUUAUCCCAAGACCAG
rnacentral:lncRNA from 1 species